GUCUACGGCCAUGCCACCCUGGACAGGCCCAAUCUUGUCUGAUCUCAGAAGCUAAGCAGGGGCGGGCCUGGUUAGUACUUGGAUGGGAGACCACCUCAGAAUACCAGGUGCUGUAGAUG
rnacentral:rRNA from 1 species